GGGUUGCUAACUCAACGGUAGAGUACUCGGCUUUUAACCGACUGGCUCCGGGUUCGAGUCCCGGGCAACCCA
rnacentral:tRNA from 1 species